UGUCUUUCUGAUAUUGUUUGCCUCUAACCCCAUUGUUUUAUUUUGUAUUUACAUUGAGUCAUAGAUCAAAUUUAUUCGUUCAGUGUAUCUUCAUUAGUUAUUUUUUUUUUAAUAUGUCAUUUGAUUGAGUAAAGCCAUUUCAGUUGAUAUUUUAAAGUGUGUCUUUCUACGUUGUGAUAUCACACUAUUGUUUCAAGUUGGAUAAAGGUUGGUGCCUAUUAAAACGUUUUAACCCACUGCAUUUGUUUGCACCUGUCCUAAGUCAGGUACCUGGUAUCGUGGUUGUCGUUUGUUGAUGUGCUUCAUAAGUGUUUCUUAUUUUCUUUUUAUAGAUUAGACCGUUGGCUUUCCUGUUUGAAUGGUUUUACACUAGUCUUUUUUAAGACCCUUUAUACCUUGCUGUUCGGUGUGAACCAAGGCUACACGUUGAAGGCUGUAAUUCAUUCCCGAGUGUGCUAAAAUGUUAUCGUCUUCAUUGGUGUCAUCUUCUUGUGUUUGUGGUGGGUUUUUUUUUCAUUUGCAGCACUUGUUUUUGAUAGUAUGUUGUUCAAGAUACCUGUUACAAAUAGGACAUUAGAUCAUUGUAUUCGUUAGCAACAUUAUUCCAUAACUCCAUCCAACGAUGUUUUAACGUGUUAAACGAUGUUUUAACACGUUAAACGAUGAUUUAACGCGUUUAAGGAUGUUUUAUCGCGUUAAACGAUG
rnacentral:lncRNA from 1 species